GUGAAACCAAGCAUGCUCACACUGUGAGAGCUGAGGGCAAUGAAAGACACUUUGGAACUAGUUGGAGUGCUAUUAAAAUCUCACUCAUAAGCCCCAAUCCCUUGGCAACGCCAAUGUAAUCAGAGCAACACUUAAGAGAGAUUCCAAGAGGGAACCGCAGCCAGGCUUUGGCCUUUUGCUGUCCAUUCUCAAGCCUCCAAGGAAAAGCCUUUGCAGAGGAGCAGGAGGAGAGGGAGUCGGAAGUGCAGAGGAGUAGGAGGAGGGAGUCGGAAGAGGGAAAACACAUCCACUCUGAACACAGGACCUCGGGCCGCUAUUGCACCCUAAGCCGAGGGGGAUGGGCUGUGAUGAGGAGAACAGAUUAAAACCCUCAAAAGGAAAAAGAGGGAAAGGAACGGCACGGAGACUGGAUGGUAUCAUAGCCAACAAAACAAACCAGGAGGAAUGUCGGGGCAGCGCCCUGCCCUCCACCAUGCUAGAACUGGGCGACCUGAAGGACGGACGGCAGGGGCAUCGCCAAGGAGUUCUGAAACAUUCCUGUUGCAUCAAAUAAUGAAAUUAAAAGGCAAGACUUAACACCUGAUUUCUUCUUCCAAUAAAGCUGCAGAAUAAUCUA